GGGUAAUCUUCCGCAAUGGACGAAAGUCUGACGGAGCAACGCCGCGUGAGUGAUGAAGGCUUUCGGGUCGUAAAACUCUGUUGUUAGGGAAGAACAAGYGCUAGUUGAAUAAGCUGGCACCUUGACGGUACCUAACCAGAAAGCCACGGCUAACUACGUGCCAGCAGCCGCGGUAAUACGUAGGUGGCAAGCGUUAUCCGGAAUUAUUGGGCGUAAAGCGCGCGCAGGUGGUUUCUUAAGUCUGAUGUGAAAGCCCACGGCUCAACCGUGGAGGGUCAUUGGAAACUGGGAGACUUGAGUGCAGAAGAGGAAAGUGGAAUUCCAUGUGUAGCGGUGAAAUGCGUAGAGAUAUGGAGGAACACCAGUGGCGAAGGCGACUUUCUGGUCUGUAACUGACACUGAGGCGCGAAAGCGUGGGGAGCAAACAGGAUUAGAUACCCUGGUAGUCC
rnacentral:rRNA from 1 species